GACGAACGCUGGCGGCGUGCUUAACACAUGCAAGUGGAGCGACGAACCAGGGCUUGCCCUGGGGCAGAGCCGCGAACGGGUGAGUAACACGUGGGUAACGUGCCCCGAUGACCGGGACAACCCGAGGAAACUCGGGCUAAUACCGGAUGUGGACCUCUCACAUCAGGGAGUUGUCUAAAGGUAGCUUCGGCUUCCGCAUUGGGAGCUGCCCGCGGCCCAUUAGCUUGUUGGUGAGGUAACGGCUUACCAAGGCUUCGAUGGGUAGCUGGUCUGAGAGGACGAUCAGCCACACUGGGACUGAGACACGGCCCAGACUCCUACGGGAGGCAGCAGUGGGGAAUCUUGCGCAAUGCGCGAAAGCGUGACGCAGCAACGCCGCGUGGGGGAAGACGGCCUUCGGGUUGUAAACCCCUUUCAGGAGGGACGAAGGUCACACGGUUAAUAGCCGGCGUGACUGACGGUACCUCCAGAAGAAGCCCCGGCUAACUACGUGCCAGCCGCCGCUGUAA
rnacentral:rRNA from 1 species